rnacentral:rRNA from 1 species
GACGAACGCUGGCGGCGUGCUUAACACAUGCAAGUCGAACGGAAAGGCCUUUUCGGAGGUACUCGAGUGGCGAACGGGUGAGUAACACGUGGGUGAUCUGCCCUGCACUCUGGGAUAAGCCUGGGAAACUGGGUCUAAUACCGGAUAGGACCGCACUUUAGUGUGUGUGGUGGAAAGUUUUUUCGGUGUAGGAUGAGCCCGCGGCCUAUCAGCUUGUUGGUGGGGUAAUGGCCUACCAAGGCGGCGACGGGUAGCCGGACUGAGAGGUUGGUCGGCCACAUUGGGACUGAGAUACGGCCCAGACUCCUACGGGAGGCAGCAGUGGGGAAUAUUGCACAAUGGGCGCAAGCCUGAUGCAGCGACGCCGCGUGGGGGAUGACGGCCUUCGGGUUGUAAACUCCUUUCGCCAGGGACGAAGCGUUUUGUGACGGUACCUGGAGAAGAAGCACCGGCUAACUACGUGCCAGCAGCCGCGGUAAUACGUAGGGUGCAAGCGUUGUCCGGAAUUACUGGGCGUAAAGAGCUCGUAGGUGGUUUGUCACGUCGUCUGUGAAAUUCCACAGCUUAACUGUGGGCGUGCAGGCGAUACGGGCUGACUUGAGUACUGUAGGGGUAACUGGAAUUCCUGGUGUAGCGGUGAAAUGCGCAGAUAUCAGGAGGAACACCGAUGGCGAAGGCAGGUUACUGGGCAGUUACUGACGCUGAGGAGCGAAAGCAUGGGUAGCAAACAGGAUUAGAUACCCUGGUAGUCCAUGCCGUAAACGGUGGGCGCUAGGUGUAGGGGCCUUUUGGGGUUUCUGUGCCGUAGCUAACGCAUUAAGCGCCCCGCCUGGGGAGUACGGCCGCAAGGCUAAAACUCAAAGGAAUUGACGGGGGCCCGCACAAGCGGCGGGGCAUGUGGAUUAAUUCGAUGCAACGCGAAGAACCUUACCAAAUCUUGACAUCCUCUGACCCCUCUAGAGAUAGAGUUUUCCCCUUCGGGGGACAGAGUGACAGGUGGUGCAUGGUUGUCGUCAGCUCGUGUCGUGAGAUGUUGGGUUAAGUCCCGCAACGAGCGCAACCCUUAAGCUUAGUUGCCACCAUUAAGUUGGGCACUCUAAGUUGACUGCCGGUGACAAACCGGAGGAAGGUGGGGAUGACGUCAAAUCAUCAUGCCCCUUAUGAUUUGGGCUACACACGUGCUACAAUGGACAAUACAAAGGGCAGCGAAACCGCGAGGUCAAGCAAAUCCCAUAAAGUUGUUCUCAGUUCGGAUUGUAGUCUGCAACUCGACUAUAUGAAGCUGGAAUCGCUAGUAAUCGUAGAUCAGCAUGCUACGGUGAAUACGUUCCCGGGUCU